rnacentral:rRNA from 1 species
GACGAACGCUGGCGGCGUGCUUAACACAUGCAAGUCGAACGGAGUACCCUCGAAAGAGAUUUCGGUCAAUGGAGAGGACUACUUAGUGGCGGACGGGUGAGUAACGCGUGAGGAACCUGCCUUUCAGUGGGGGACAACAGCUGGAAACGGCUGCUAAUACCGCAUAAUGCAUAGGUAUCGCAUGGUACAGAUGCCAAAGAUUUAUCGCUGAGAGAUGGCCUCGCGUCUGAUUAGCUAGUUGGUAGGGUAACGGCCUACCAAGGCGACGAUCAGUAGCCGGACUGAGAGGUUGGCCGGCCACAUUGGGACUGAGAUACGGCCCAG